rnacentral:rRNA from 1 species
CCUACGGUCGGCAGCAGUCGAGAAUCAUUCACAAUGGGGGAAACCCUGAUGGUGCGACGCCGCGUGGGGGAAUGAAGGUCUUCGGAUUGUAAACCCCUGUCAUGUGGGAGCAAAUUAAAAAGAUAGUACCACAAGAGGAAGAGACGGCUAACUCUGUGCCAGCAGCCGCGGUAAUACAGAGGUCUCAAGCGUUGUUCGGAAUCACUGGGCGUAAAGCGUGCGUAGGCUGUUUCGUAAGUCGUGUGUGAAAGGCGCGGGCUCAACCCGCGGACGGCACAUGAUACUGCGAGACUGGAGUAAUGGAGGGGGAAGCGGAAUUCUCGGUGUAGCAGUGAAAUGCGUAGAUAUCGAGAGGAACACUCGUGGCGAAGGCGGGUUCCUGGACAUUAACUGACGCUGAGGCACGAAGGCCAGGGGAGCGAAAGGGAUUAGAUACCCGAGUAGUC